UACGGAGGGUGCGAGCGUUAUCCGGAAUUACUGGGUUUAAAGGGUGCGUAGGCGGUUAGAUAAGUCAGGGGUGAAAGGUGUUCGCUUAACGAGCAAAUUGCCUUUGAAACUGUUUAACUUGAAUAAAGUUGAGGUCAGCGGAAUGAGUCAUGUAGCGGUGAAAUGCAUAGAUAUGACUUAGAACACCGAUUGCGAAGGCAGCUGGCUAGGCUUGAAUUGACGCUGAGGCACGAAAUCGUGGGGAGCGAACAGG
rnacentral:rRNA from 1 species